rnacentral:lncRNA from 1 species
UUGGUUCCUCUUCUUGCUUUUGUUUUGUAAAUAUGUGUAUCUUGUCUCUUACCGUUGUGUUCUAGAUUGAGAGAAAAGAAAAGAGACAAGAUGAAAAAAAAAAAGAAAAAAAAUUUACAGAAAAAUGAGAAAAAAAUAAAAAAAAUAUUGUUGUGAAUAAAGGGGUCAACAAGAGGAUUGAAUUAGAGGGUUUGGGGUGUGAUUUGAUUGUGUUUCACUUGUUCCUCAUUGCUCCUCUAUUACUUUUGCUUUGUAGCUUCUUAUCCAUAUUUAUCCUCCCUUUUCCUUG